GUCGAGCAGGUACGAAAGUAGGUCUUAGUGAUCCGGUGGUUCUGUAUGGAAGGGCCAUCGCUCAACGGAUAAAAGGUACUCCGGGGAUAACAGGCUGAUACCGCCCAAGAGUUCAUAUCGACGGCGGUGUUUGGCACCUCGAUGUCGGCUCAUCACAUCCUGGGGCUGAAGCCGGUCCCAAGGGUAUGGCUGUUCGCCAUUUAAAGUGGUACGCGAGCUGGGUUUAGAACGUCGUGAGACAGUUCGGUCCCUAUCUGCCGUGGACGUUUGAGAUUUGAGAGGGGCUGCUCCUAGUACGAGAGGACCGGAGUGGACGAACCUCUGGUGUUCCGGUUGUCACGCCAGUGGCAUUGCCGGGUAGCUAUGUUCGGAAGCGAUAACCGCUGAAAGCAUCUAAGCGGGAAGCGCGCCUCAAGAUGAGAUCUCCCGGGGCACAAGCCCCCUGAAGGAACCAUGUAGACUACGUGGUUGAUAGGUCAGGUGUGUAAGUACAGCAAUGUAUUGAGCUAACUGAUACUAAUGAUCCGUGCGGCUUGACCAUAUAACCUCA
rnacentral:rRNA from 1 species